rnacentral:rRNA from 1 species
GACGAACGCUGGCGGCGUGCUUAACACAUGCAAGUCGAACGGAAAGGCCCUGCUUUUGUGGGGUGCUCGAGUGGCGAACGGGUGAGUAACACGUGAGUAACCUGCCCUUGACUUUGGGAUAACUUCAGGAAACUGGGGCUAAUACCGGAUAGGAGCUCCUGCUGCAUGGUGGGGGUUGGAAAGUUUCGGCGGUUGGGGAUGGACUCGCGGCUUAUCAGCUUUUUGGUGGGGUAGUGGCUUACCAAGGCUUUGACGGGUAGCCGGCCUGAGAGGGUGACCGGCCACAUUGGGACUGAGAUACGGCCCAGAAUCCUACGGGAGGCAGCAGUGGGGAAUAUUGCACAAUGGGCGGAAGCCUGAUGCAGCAACGCCGCGUGCGGGAUGACGGCCUUCGGGUUGUAAACCGCUUUCGCCUGUGACGAAGCGUGAGUGACGGUAAUGGGUAAAGAAGCACCGGCUAACUACGUG